rnacentral:rRNA from 1 species
AUUGAACGCUGGCGGCAGGCCUAACACAUGCAAGUCGAACGAGUAGCGGACGGGUGAGUAAUUUCUGGGCAAGUGCCUGACGGAGGGGGAUAACUACUGGAAACGGUAGCUAAUACCGCAUAACAUCAGCUCUGCCCAUGUGGGAUUAGCUUGUUGGUGGGGUAACGGCUCACCAAGGCGACGAUCCCUAGCUGGUCUGAGAGGAUGACCAGCCACACUGGAACUGAGACACGGUCCAGACUCCUACGGGAGGCAGCAGUGGGGAAUAUUGCACAAUGGGCGCAAGCCUGAUGCAGCCAUGCCGCGUGUAUGAAGAAGGCCUUCGGGUUGUAAAGUACUUUCAGCGGGGAGGCGUUACCCGCAGAAGAAGCACCGGCUAACUCCGUGCCAGCAGCCGCGGUAAUUC